CACAGAACUCAGAGAAACAUUUGACUUACUAGAUCAUUGGCUUAUUAUGAAAGGAUAUAAACACUAUUUCAUUUCAAGACUUUUUAUAAAGCGUCAACAAUCAAGACAAUGAAGAAGUGAGAAAGGCCUCUCAGAAGUUUACCUAUGCUAUGCUCUUGGGGCCCAGUCAGGAAAGCAGCAACCACAUUAGAAUUCUAGCAGAAAGGAUUGGCUAUGGGGCACUGGAGACUUAUGACCCCAUUGAAAGGGCCAGAGCUGCAAGAUCAGUGAAGCCGUGACUUUCUGAUCUGGGUUGAGCUGAGACAACAUAAUUGUCCUCAUGUAAGCACUGAAGAACCAAGACACAGAGAUACCAUCGAGUCGGUGGCAAAAUUGGGGCGAGAACUAAAAUCUCUUGUCUCUCAAUCCAUUGAUCUUUCUUAUGUGUUCCAAAGUAGAGAAUGAAUGCCUGGGAAUGACUCUGUGUGUGUGUGUGUGUGUGUGUGUGUGUGUGUGUAAUCAAUCAGAGAAAGGAAGAAAUGCAAAUUAGAUACUAUCCAAUGGCUUUUCCUCUUUGCGUGGGUAUUCCAGUAGAAAGAUAACCAUACAGCUAACCUCUAAGUUGAUUUUUAUUCCAACCAAAAAAUUAAAAUUUAAAAAAAAAGUGCCUGCCUGCUUUUUCUUUGAAAUAGUCUUUAGGAUUU
rnacentral:lncRNA from 1 species